rnacentral:rRNA from 1 species
AACGUAGGGGGCCAGCGUUGCUCGGAAUGACUGGGCGUAAAGGGUCUGUAGGCGGUGCGGCAAGUCGGAAGUGAAAUCCUGCGGCUUAACUGCAGGGCUGCUUCCGAAACUGCCGCGCUAGAGUGCGGGAGAGGGGAGUGGAAUUGCCGGUGUAGCGGUGAAAUGCGUAGAUAUCGGCAGGAACACCGGAGGCGAAGGCGGCUCCCUGGACCGCAACUGACGCUGAGAGACGAAAGCUGGGGGAGCAAAC